ACUGGGCGUUAGGGUUAGGAAAAAAAUCGACCCCCCCCCCCACUCCAAAGUUCUGGAUCCGCUAGUGUCCCAAAGACAGGCUCAUAAGACGAACAAAAAACUGAAAAAAAAUCCCCGGCGGACAACGGCUUUGUCUGCAUUAGGUGUGGCAAAAUAUACAGUUUGCUAUUUGAAGUCGGGUUUAGUGUUAUCAUUUCUACCUUAGCUCAGCUUUCGUUUCUUCAUCUACGAUAUCACUUACUCUGCUGAACGUCUACAUGAGCUCCAGAUGAAAGAAAUCUGAAAGGAGUUAAAGAGGCGGGACAUCGUAGCGUCAGGAAACAAAGAAGCCCUCGUUAGCCGUCUGAGAGAUGCUUUGAAAGAAGACAAGUUUGACCCGGACACUUACGAGUUUGAAAUGAAGGCUGACCUCGCAGAAUGUUGAGUGAAAUAAAAGAGGAACUUCUAGGGUCAAUGCGAACAAUGGCGACUGGUCUGAAAACAGAUCUGGAGGAAUUCAGAAGUAAGUUAAGGGAGGAAAUCGCCGCUGUGAAGUCACAGCUUACAGCAGAGAUGGAGCUAAAGAUUAAAGCCCUUAACGACGAGGUCCAGGCAGUCAAGGUCGAGCUGGGCAAGGUUCAACGUAUUCAAACAAAUUCAGGAUUGAGCGAAGCAAUUUUGGAAAGUCAAGCCACCUAUUUUUGAUAGUACAGUCUCGUGGACAGUCUAUAAAAGACUAUUUGAGGCGGCUGCUAAAGUGAACAACUGGAGUACGAACGAGGAAAAAGCAACUGGAUUAAUGUUAGCAUUACGGGGAAAGGUCUCUGAAUAGCUACAGAUAGUUAACGAACAGCAAGUGCAUUAUGCCUAAUGGGCAUUGAUGAAUCACUAGUUUUAGUUUCUUCUUUAGUCCGGUCAAACUCUGAAGAGACUAAACAAGCCGAUUCUAGAAAAGCAUGGUUUGCCACAGCUGGUGAAUGUGGAUAUCUUAAUGGGGCAGAUUUCUUUCUCAUUCUGUCGCUGUGACCGAUUCAUUCAUUUCGCUCUCGGUGCACGCACAGUCUGUCUCCGUGUUUGUCCGAUCUUUCCUAUCACAUAUUAUUUUGUAAGCCUGUAGUCCUCAGAUGUUGCUUGCAGUCAUCUAUGUAGGAUAGUAUUGGGAAUCUCUUGGGUCUGACUCCCUCAUCAAGCUCAGCAGUGAGGAUGGCCUAAUGAAUUCUUCCGUCUGGCUAGCGGGUAACAUGUUCGAGCAUACUUAGCAUUCUCUUUAUCAAAAGAGCUUUCAUGCUGUAUGUAUUGCCAGUUUUAAAACUUUCUUAUUAAAAACAAUGUGAGCUAUAUGCAACGCAAGUGAAAACUGUUUAAUUUAUGCUCUUAGUGUAUGUAUGUAGACUAGCUCUCGCUCGAGUUAGAACAAUGGAAUAGCGCUUUGGGGAGGAACACAUGAAGCAGGUUUAUAGAGUGCAAUUGAAGACUCGGCAUCAAAAAACAAGGGAUACACAACAGGAUUGGUGGCAGAUAUCGAACGACUGGCACGCCUGGCUUAUCCGACCUUGACCCAGGAGAUUUUAGACGUUCUCAUAACAGACGCGUUUAUUGAUUGUGUUCGUGACCCCGAAUUGAAGUAGGCUAUUAGAUUAAGUGGAAAAAUAGAGGCUAGCGAUGCUUCGAUAUAUGCAUUAUCUUUUGAGGCAGCUAAAGACACAUAAAAAGCGACCCAUUUCAGUCGGAGGCUUCAUGUUCAGGAGGAGGACCUCACGCAUAUCAUCAGACAAGCAGUGGAAACUAUAGAUGACCGACGGUCUCAGCAAAUGCCCAGACCAAAUAGACCGGUUGUUCACUGCUGGAAUUGCAAUCUUCUGGACACAUUCAGAGAAAUUGUACUCGGGGAUAUGCAGGCUGACAAAGAGAGAAAGAUGGAUUGGGUAGUCAUCAGGCCAACAUUCAAUCUCAGAACCAGGAAAACUAGAUUCUGCCGGUCUCGUGGGGCGGAGACAGGCAGCGAGAUUCACAUGAAGCCCCAGGCUUAUCAUCCCAGUUGCCGUGCUAGGGAAAAAUAGAAGCCUGAGAGUACAAGGGAAAAUAGGAGUUCGAUUUUGCAGAUUUCUAUUAGAUAUUGGCGCAUCGAGAUCGAUAAUUUAUCCUAGUCUUAUUGAGAAUAACGUAAUACAUGAAGUCAGUGGCUAUUCUAUAAAAACAUCUAGUGGAGAACUUUUGCCAGUUUUAGGACAGAUCACUGUAAAGAUUGAGAUAGCAAAUCAACAUUUUAGUCAUGAAUUCUUGGUCGCCAAUAUCAUGGAUGAGUGUAUUCUGGGACUAGACUUCAUGCAGUUAUUUGGACUCUCCUUGAACAUUGGGGGUGGCACAAUGCAAUAUGGAAAUCUUGAAAUUCCGUUGCUGGGGAACGACAUGGAAGAAGAACAGAUAAAGAGGGUCUUGAUAACAAAAGGUACCAGCAUACCCGCACAGUGUGAAGCCAUUAUAUGUAACACAAUAGACGGUAAUGAUCCUGUGCCUAUAGCAAGCCUUAUAGAGCAGUCAAAGGAAACGCGCAGUAGACUACCUGUGGGGAGAAUACUGGUUGUUAAUAGAAACGACCGAUGGGUACCUGUUCGGGUUAGGAAUUUUGACACUUAAACUUGCAACCUUCAGAAGAAGAAUGUUAUCGCCAUUUGUUGUCCAUUGGAAAUUAUUGCAUCGUGUGAUGCGGUGGUCCCUGUAGCUAGUGCCUCGUAAUGUGAUUCUCGAGUUGAUCGGAUACUUGGAGAUGAGGGUGAGGAUCUGUCGGAGAGAGAGUGCGGUGGGGUUAGGCAAAUGUUGCUAGAGUUUGGGGACGUCGUGCCAGACAGUGAAAAUGGGCUCGGCGAGACUGAUUUGGUGUUCCAGGACAAGGUUGUGCACCUGGAUCGGUUGCACCAGUAUUGUGAGGAGACCAGAGUCUGUUCGGGACGAACAGAACUAGGGAGGGGCAGUGUUGUAACCCUGUUUCUCCCUGACUAACCAUUUUUCCAAAUGCGAAGUAGGAUGAUUUUUUUUAUGUUGUUAAGAAACUUUAGUGAUGCUUUUGUUUUUCUCUACUGAGGAUAGAGGAUUGUUUUCUUUAAUUUGUGUAAGUGAAUCCGGAUAUGUAAAAUUGAUUUGGAGAUUGUGACAUUAUUUAUUUUUAUCGGUGAUAGUGAUUGAUCAUGAUUGGAUUGUGCAAUCAGAGAGAUACCAGUGAUCUGAGAAUCGCAUCUGAAGAAAUGUCGAAAAACAUCUGAGAUGAAGUGCAACUAAAGUUUUCAAGAUUAAAUCAUGUUAGGGUCAUCGACAAUGAACGAGGCCAAAUGAUCAGCUUGAUGUUGCGAGCUUGAAAAGUAGGAGAGAUAACGUACAAGUGUGUUCACCAGACAAGACGGACGGACAGACGGGAGGCGGUAUCGUCAAGGAUUCCUUCCUGGAACUGCUCCUGAAAGAGGAACAGACAAAAUGAUUGUGACAAUGACGUAGAACGUUUCCUGACUACAUUAUAGAUGAAAAGCAAUGGCGUGUGCAGUAGCUCAUCAGACUCUCCUUUGAGGUUGAGACUUUGCGCAGCUGCACUAUUUGGACUGUCGUUAAUUCAGCCCUAACUCUAAACUCUUGUCAGUUUAGAAAAAAAUGUUUAAUUUCAAGACAUCAAAUAUAUUCGUACACAACAAAGUUUAUAUAAUAAUUAACAUUGGAAUGUAUAAAGCUUCUGUAAAGUAACAUGCAGAGGCAGUAUGGUAAUAUUUUAUCAUAAUAAUAUUAUGGGUAUUAUCAAUGAACACUUUGUCUAUGCUGCCGAAGAACAUAAAAUCAUCAACAGUCUUGCUAGUCUUAAUUCGAGCUUUGAGUGCAUAGUAUUUUUCAACUUUCACAAUUGUCCAGUCAAUUCCUAGUGGUCAGGUACUCACCUCACUCCAGCCAU